GAGGAGCAGAGGAAUAAUCACCUGCUGUAGGAUAAAACACUGAGGUGGAGGUGUUGCGUAGAUGACGUGUGACAGAGGCAGUGUUGCGAAGGUGAGGUGUGGUGGUAGCGGGGUUGCGGGUGUGGGAAGUUAGGUGUUGUGUUGGCGAGGUCUGACUGAGAUGGUGUGGGGGUGUGGUGUGACUGAGGUGGUGUUGCGCUGGUAAUGUGUGACUGAGGUGGUGUUGCGGAGGUGAGGUGUAACUGAGGUGGUGUUGCGCUGGUAAUGUGUCACUGAGUUGGUGUUGCGGAGGUGAGGUGUGUCACUGAGGUGGUGUUGCAGAGGUGAGGUGUCACUGAGGUGGUGUUGCGGAGGUGAGGUGUCACUAAGGUAGUGUUGCAGAGGUGAGGUGUGUCACUGAGUUGGUGUUGCGGAGGUGAGGUGUCACUGAGGUGGUGUUGUGGAGGUGAGGUGUCACUGAGGUGGUGUUGCGGAGGUGAGGUGUGUCACUGAGUUGGUGUUGCGGAGGUGAGGUGUCACUGAGGUGGUGUUGCGGAGGUGAGGUGUCACUAAGGUAGUGUUGCAGAGGUGAGGUGUGUCACUGAGGUGGUGUUGCAGAGGUGAGGUGUGUCGGAGGCAGUGAUGUGUUGGUGAGGUGUGUCGGAGGCAGUGUUGCGGAGGUGAGGUGUGUCAGAGGCAGUGUUGUGUUGGUGAGGUGUGUCGGAGGCAGUGUUGUGGAGGUGAGGUGUAUCAGAGGCAGUGUUGUGUUGGUGAGGUGUGUUGGAGGCAGUGUUGCGGAGGUGAGGUGUGUCAGAGGCAGUGUUGUGUUGGUGAGGUGUGUCAGAGGCAGUGUUGCGGAGGUGAGGUGUGUCAGAGGCAGUGUUGUGUUGGUGAGGUGUGUCGGAGGCAGUGUUGCGGAGGUGAGGUGUGUCAGAGGCAGUGUUGUGUUGGUGAGGUGUGUCAGAGGCAGUGUUGCGGAGGUGAGGUGUGUCAGAGGCAGUGUUGUGUUGGUGAGGUGUGUCGGAGGCAGUGUUGCGGAGGUGAGGUGUGUCAGAGGCAGUGUUGUGUUGGUGAGGUGUGUCAGAGGCAGUGUUGUGUAGGUGAGGUGUGUCAGAGGCAGUGUUGUGUAGGUGAGGUG